UACAGAGGGGGCAAGCGUUGUUCGGAAUUACUGGGCGUAAAGGGCGCGUAGGCGGCCCGCUAAGUCGAACGUGAAAUCCCCGAGCUCAACUCGGGAACUGCGUCCGAUACUGGCGGGCUUGAAUCCGGGAGAGGGAUGCGGAAUUCCAGGUGUAGCGGUGAAAUGCGCAGAUAUCAGGAGGAACACCGAGUGGCGAAGGCAGCUCGCUGGGACGGUACUGACGCUGAGGCGCGAAAGCGUGGGGAGCGAACAGG
rnacentral:rRNA from 1 species